rnacentral:lncRNA from 1 species
GGAACACAGCCCUACCAGCACCUUGAAUAUGGCCCAGUGAGACCCAUUUCAGACUUCUGACUUCUAGAACUGCCAGGUCCUGGGGACCCUGCAGGGAACAAAAUGCCCGAGUCCCUACCUUCACUGAACUUAAUUUCUACUGUGGAGAAACAGAUGAUAAACACGUA